rnacentral:hammerhead_ribozyme from 15 species
AAGGCGUAUAAGGUAGGCUUCCACUACAAUACCUUACUGAUGAGUCCAGUAGUGGAAGCCGGGACGAAACGCCAA